CGGGGAACGCCGGGGGUUCCCGAAGCCCGAGCGGGCCGCGCCUCAAGGAUGGCCUGAAGGAGGGCCUGCCCGCCGCUCUGCGUGCUGCUGCGCUGCUGCCGGCCGGCCCGCGAACGCUGCUCCCUCGCUGCUUUACUUCAGGCACCGAGGCGCGGCGGAUCCCGGGGCGGAUGGGACCUGCAAGGCAGUGGUUUGCUUGUAUCCAUACCUUGGAGAAAGGGAGAUGCAGGGAAGACAGAGCCAGGCUCCUGACAGCUGUACCAGCACCAGGACCAGAGGCGCUGAGCAUGAGCUGGAGUGCAGAAGAUGACAGUCC
ensembl:lncRNA